CCGUGAAGCAGCCAUGUGGAGCGCUCUCCUGGGUGUGGCUGUGACUCAUUCACCCAAUGUAGGUUCCAGGUCUGUAUCCAGAGCCCAGCUUUGGGCAGCCACGAGUUCUGGGUGGAACCCUGGAGCCAAAGUGCCGGGAAGGGGGAGCAGGCGGUCCUUUGCUGGAAUCGAGCGGCUCCCUCUACUGGCCAACUAGGGGAGCCACCGUGCUUCCGUGUGUCGCUGCAGCACGACGGAUGUCACAGGUGUGCCAGUGAGUGAGCGCCCAUGCCGGCUUUGGCCAGGAAAAGUGCGGCAUGGAUAUAAGCGCACGAAGAUCCCUGUUUCUGAUGCCACAUCGCUGUGCCGACGCUGCCCGAGGCUGUUUCUGGAAACAACCCACGACCGCAUCUUGUAAUAAAAUUUACUUUUGGACGGUGGGGAGAGGGAGCCCAGGAAAGCUUGUUAUCUGAGCUUACCACCUUCCUGUCUCUGGAGUGAUCAGAAUGCACAGAUAGUGCUGGCAUUCCUCUCCAGCGGGCACUAGCCCGAGUAGGUGGGCGCCGUUCAGGGGAAAUUCUGUGGAAAGGACUCUAAACUCUGAAGCAACUAAGGACCCAAGAAAGGGUUAACCUCAAGCCCCACAGAGACUCCAAUCAUUGGUUCGGGGCACUGCCUGUCAGAGUUCUGAGGGUGGGGUUUUCGAGGCUGCAGCCAGAUUGCCCAGAGCCCCUCACUAGCCUCUGGACACCCCCCCCCCCCAUCCUCUGACCGCUGGGCUGUGCCCACACUGUGCCUGUCUUGGUGGAGACACCUUUCUGGGCCCCGGAUGAGGCGCGGAUACGGGCAUCCUGGCUUCCCCGCUCUCUCCAGCUGCCUGGCUUCCUGAUAGAUGCACUCCUCUGACCAACUCUGCCUGCUUAGUCACUCACUAAGUACUGACCGAAGACCUAUUACUCUGUUCCAGGUGCUGGACUGGACACUAGAUUUAUGUUGGUGAUAAGACAGUUAUGUGUAGCAUGAAUUCUAGUUGGACUUAAUAAAAGCACAGAAUCAGAUAAUGGAGUUAAAGCUGAAGAUCAGAGAAGCAGAGUGGCCAGACACUAGAGAGUUCUCAGCUCUACCAAUGCUCAGACCGAAGGGGCGAUCCCGUCCUCAGACUGCAUCUCCAGACUACACUGCUCCUCACCUAACCUCAGACUGCCGAGCUCCUGUCUCCUCCCACAAUAUGUUCCUCUCUAGUGCUGGGAUUUCAGGCAUGGGAUCCCAAGUGCUAGGAGCACCUUCAUUUCUCACUUAGACUGGAUCACUCUCAAACCCAGGGUGGCCUUGAACUCACAAAGAUCCAUGUGCCCCUGUCUUCUGAGUCCUGGGAUUAGAGGUGUGCACCACCACUGCCCGGCCUCUAUGGCUGUGGCUGUCUUUGCACUAUAAGCUUCAGGUAAGCUUUUACUGGAUCAUAAAGUAUCACCACAGACAUGGUCCUUGCCCUCACACAGCGAGCAGUCUGAGAAUUACGAUUCAGUGUGAGGAGGGAGCUUAAUCUGCUGUCAGCAAAGAUCCCUGAGUCAGGCAUAACAGGGAGGCAACACCCUGUGAACCUCAGGGGACAGUACACACCUUGCUGGGAGCCUACAGAGAGUACAGCUUGAGAUGUCUACGAUCUCCCUCUCUAUGUUCGCCAAGGAAAUAAUUCUCCCACAGAAAGAAGACUGGCCUGAAAGAUAUGGGGCCUACCAUGAUCACUUUCUAGGCCUGUUUCUUCAAAUGUCAAAAACCACUGGGCUGGUGAGAGGGCCCAGUGGAUAAAGAGGCCUGUUGCCAAGCUGGUCUCCUGAGUUCAGCCCGAGGGACCCGCAUGGCUGAAGGAGAGAAUCACAUCCCACCCCCACCUCACCCCCAUGCCCCACCAAUAAAUAAAAAAUAUUUUAGUGCUCACUUUGGCAGCACAUAUACAAACAAAACAAAGGAAAGCUACAGAGAAGAUAGCACAAGGAUAGCCCUGGCUGUCCUGGAACUCACUUUGUAGACCAGGCUAGCCUUGAGCUCAUAGAAGUCCACCUGCAUCUGCCUCCCAAGUACUGAGACUAAAGUCAUAUGCACAUUCCACUAAGAACAUUUUAAUAAAAUAAAAAGAAUUUGGUGAAUUUA